UACGAAGGGGGCUAGCGUUGCUCGGAAUCACUGGGCGUAAAGCGCACGUAGGCGGAUUGUUAAGUCAGGGGUGAAAUCCUGGAGCUCAACUCCAGAACUGCCUUUGAUACUGAAGAUCUUGAGUUCGGGAGAGGUGAGUGGAACUGCGAGUGUAGAGGUGAAAUUCGUGGAUAUUCGCAAGAACACCAGUGGCGAAGGCGGCUCACUGGCCCGAUACUGACGCUGAGGCACGAAAGCGUGGGGAGCAAACAGGG
rnacentral:rRNA from 1 species